rnacentral:rRNA from 1 species
UACGUAGGGUGCGAGCGUUAAUCGGAAUUACUGGGCGUAAAGCGUGCGCAGGCGGUUUUGUAAGCCAGAUGUGAAAGCCCCGGGCUUAACCUGGGAAUGGCAUUUGGGACUGCAAGGCUUGAGUGCGGCAGAGGAGACUGGAAUUCCUGGUGUAGCAGUGAAAUGCGUAGAUAUCAGGAGGAAUACCGAUGGCGAAGGCAGGUCUCUGGGCUGACAC